GGGCUGAGUGAUGUCAUCCCGGUCCGAGGGGCGGGGUCUGUUAUCUCCAUGGUGACUCUGUCACAUUGUGGCACUUUACUGUGGGUCGGGAUGUCUCAGCUCCACCCACUGACACCCGCGGAGAGUCCGGGCGGUGAUUGCCCAGUGUCCUUGGGGUGAAAAUAAUCCACCAGCCGCUUGGGAAAGUCCCGGCAGUGCCACAUCCCCAGGCUCAGCGGAGUGGGGUUUGUUCAGGCGCUGGGUGAUCUCUGCCCACAGCCCCGCCCGGACUCUGAACGGCCCAUUUCCAUAUCCAGCCUCCAGCUCUCCGUGCCUCAGUCUCCCCGCUCUGACCCAGGGGCUGGGAUAGUUCCCGGCCUCCCGGCGGCGCUGUGGGGAGAAAGGCGAUAACCGCGUGUGAAGGGCCGAGACGCCACGACGCUGUCCUGUGAGUCUGACACCGAGACGGGCCCCGGGAGAGCCAACGUGCCGGGACAGCGAGCGGAGAGCGACUCAGAGCAGGACUCACUCCGGAUUGGGGUUCACAGAUGGAGCGAGGGAUCUCUGCGCCGCAGGCCCAGCGGGGCUCUGGGCAGGAAGGGGAGACACAUUGCCCGGGAACGGAAGGGUUAAAACUGCUGGGAGGUGCCUGGUCCCAGAUCAAUUUGGUGGAGUCUGGAGGGGAUGUGAAAAAGCCCGGAGACUCUCUCCACCUCUCCUGCAAAGCCUCCGGGUUCACCUUCAGCAGCUACAAUAUGAGCUGGGUCCAUCAGCCUCCUGGGAAGGGACUAGAUUGGGUGGCUUAUCUAGACAGCCCUGGGGGUGAUAUAUACUACCAUAGGCGCCAACUUCUGCUGGCACUGGUGGGUACUCGACCAGCCUCUGCCACCGGCCCUGCCCCAACUCCAUCCCUGCCCCGCCCCCAUUCCAACCCGUUCCCUAAAGUCCCCACCUCAACUCUGUCUACUCCCUGCCCCUAUUAGACCCCCUUCCCCAGAUCCUGGCCCCAGCCCCGCCUCUUCCCUUGAGCGAGCCACGUUCCCACUCCUCCCUGCUCCCUCACGGAGCUUGUUACCAAUUUUUCCCCAUGGGUGCUCCAGGGCUGGGAGUUGGCACCUAUGUACACUACCUUGGUUCAGUGAAAGGCUGGUUCACCAUCUCCAGGGAUAACUCCAACAUCCUGCUGUAUCUGCAAAUGACCGGCCUGAGAUCCGCGGACACUGCCUGGUAUCACUGUGCUAGAUAUACAGUGACACAGGAACCUAUUGAUGUUCAUACAAAAACCCAGGCUGCAGAAUCCGCGUGCCAAGUGGUGGUAGCAGCAACAUAAACAACAGGGCUUUGGGCACAGAAAGGAGAACAGGCAUCCUGGGGAAUGAAAUACAAACCUACCUCAAGGUUUUAACCUUUUCAUUCUCUAGCAAUUUUUGCUUCACACAGUCCCACUGGGCCUGCAGUGCAGACACUGCUCACUGCUUCAGUGAACCCCAUUCAGAUGUGAGUCCUGUUUCCACGGUCAGUCUCUCCUUGUAUAUUUGAAACUUUCCCUAAUGUAAAAUGUGGCUAGUUCCCACAUUGUUCCUUCACUCUUUUA